rnacentral:rRNA from 1 species
UACGUAGGUGGCGAGCGUUGUCCGGAUUUACUGGGCGUAAAGCGCGCGCAGGCGGUUCUGUAAGUCCCGCGUGAAAUCGCCCGGCUCAACCGGGCGGGGUCGCGGGAGACUGGGGGGCUCGAGCGAGGGAGGGGGCAGUGGAAUUCCCGGUGUAGUGGUGGAAUGCGUAGAUAUCGGGAGGAACACCAGUGGCGAAGGCGGCUGCCUGGACCUCUGCUGACGCUGAGGCGCGAAAGCGUGGGGAGCGAUCCGG